rfam:Danio rerio unplaced genomic contig NA704, GRCz11 reference primary assembly.
CCUUGGCUAGCUCAGUCGGUAGAGCAUGAGAUUCUUCAUCUCAGGGUCGUGGGUUUGAGCCCCUCGUUGGGCG